rnacentral:rRNA from 1 species
AGAGUUUGAUCAUGGCUCAGGACGAACGCUGGCGGCGUGCUUAACACAUGCAAGUCGAACGGAAAGGUCUCUUCGGAGAUACUCGAGUGGCGAACGGGUGAGUAACACGUGGGUGAUCUGCUGCACUUCGGGAUAAGCUUGGGAAACUGGGUCUAAUACCGGAUAGGACUUCAAGAUGCAUGUCUUGGGGUGGAAAGAUU